CAGAUCCAUGUAUUCUGCCUAUAGGAGGUUCCAUCAGCUUUCAUUGUAGAAGGCACAGCUCUGCCUCCCAUCUAAGAGGAUUUAAUGGUUACAGAGCUAAUUCGAGUGAAAGAGCUUUGAGAAGAGUGAGAUAUUACAGGAAUCCUUCAAGACCUCACUAUUAUUACACUGUUUCUAGGCCGGGCGCAGUGGCUCACAUCUGUAAUCCUGACACUUUGGGAGCCCAAGACUAGCAGAUUGCUUGAGGUCAGGAGCUCGAGACCAGCCUGGCCAACAUAGGGAAACCCUGUCUCUACAAAAAUACAACAAUUAGCCAGGUGUGGUGGCUCACGCCAGUGGUCCCAGCUACUCUGGAGGCUGAGAUAAGGAAGCUGAAGCACACAGAUGUGAUGUAAGUCACCAUGAUCCCAAUUUAAGAGCUUGCCUUGUCAUUCAGUAAAUUCAUUAGUGACUGAAUAAACG